UCCUUGUUCGUUUAUUUUCUUUUUGUGUUGAGCCGUUGGUUUCUUUCUUGUUUUCUUCUUGCUUUCUUGAUUUUUGGUUUUUCUGAUUGGGAUAUCGAUCUGACAUUUUCUGACGGUUUUGAGAUAUGGGGGGUGGUGGGCAUUGCGUAAGGUUUGCGUGUGAUGUUGGAUAUUUUUCCUUUCCUCUAGAAGAUUGUCUUACUCUUCUUUUGGUAUCUCCUGCCAUUGAAGAAAACUUGUUCUUUCUAAAACUUGUUCUUUCUCCUUUCGUGUUAAAAAGAUAGAGCUCUUAUUUUGUUCUGUUCUUGUUUGGGUUUCUUGAUCUGGAGUUCGCUUAUUUGUAAAAACUUGUGCCAAUCGUGAUCGGGAUCUUGAUAGGUGGAAGCCUUAUAAUAUGUUAGACAGUUAGAAUUUUCGAGGUUCAAGGUUUAUCUCCGAGCUGGUGUAAUGAGAGAUUUUAUGCUCCUGAGAUUGGAUUUUAUUUUUGGCGUAACUUUUACAGUAUUCUAUGGUUUUGAGUCAUCCUACUUUAUGUCAUUAACGAGGACCUAUGAAUUGGCAUAAUGAAGAAAAUUCAUGCUUUUGACACAAACAAUUCCAUUUGGUCAAGUCGACCACCUUGCAUUGGCUAUCCUGUUAUGUCAGAAUCUUAUCCAUGUAAGUCACCCUCAUACUGGAAGAAAAUUUACUAUGAACAUUGAAUAGAGGAAGCAACACUCUUCUAAAGAAAAUUGCAAGGCAGUUAUGGAUGCUGAUCUUUAUCUAAGUUUAUCAGUCUCAUCGAAUCAAAGCAUGUUCUAAGAUCUUGUGUAGGAUAAAAGGUUUUUGUGAUGACUUGUAGAUGCGGCAGCAUUUUAUUUUUUGAUAAGCCAGAUAGUUCAUACAUAUCUAGUAUGAAUAUGUUCACAAAAGUCAGAAAAAAGGAUGUCCUUGAAAGCCAAUGGAAGGUCUUCGAUCUUAGUCCACACCCUCUCUCCAAUAUGCUCUGCUACAUAAGUGGCCAUCCAGUUCGCAACAUUGUUGGCCUCUCAAUAUAUAUGGCGGACCUCCAUGGAAAGGCAGCUCUUCUUCGCACACUGACUAUCAUAAAUGAGAGGCUGCCUUGCCGUUGACGAUGACCGUCCACAUAAUCAGGCUACCACCAUGGCGGAGUCCUUGAGCACAAGUCUCUUUACACCAAGCCUCAGUGUAGCAAAGUUAAUGCCAGCCCACGCCACCUGUAGUUUAGCUGCCGGAACCAUAUGGCCGAUGAGGUGACGACCGCCCGCAGUCAGAAACCUGGAAUCUGGGCUACGAAUCACAAAUCCCGCGCCCCCUUUGUUGCCUCUGACGCUGCCAUCGAAGUUGACCUUGAUAUACCUGGGAGAUGGGGGCUCCCAAGUGAUGAAUACCAGUCAGGGCGCUGUCAUAGCAGCUCAUAAAUGAUGCUUACCAUGUGAAAAUGGAAGCAUCGAGACGAUUGUUCUGAUUCUUGUGCUUGAGAAUCUGGAGAUCCACUAGUUUGAGAAGUCAUCUUUGCUUUAUUUGAAUUGCUCAAUUAUGAUACACAUUUUGUUUUUUAA